rnacentral:rRNA from 1 species
AUUGAACGCUGGCGGCAAGCCUAACACAUGCAAGUCGAACGGUAGCAGGUCCUUCGGGAUGCUGACGAGUGGCGGACGGGUGAGUAACGCGUAGGAAUCUACCCAGUAGCGGGGGAUAGCCCGGGGAAACUCGGAUUAAUACCGCAUACGCCCUAAGGGGGAAAGCAGGGGAUCUUCGGACCUUGCACUAUUGGAAGAGCCUGCGUUGGAUUAGCUAGUUGGUAGGGUAAAGGCCUACCAAGGCGACGAUCCAUAGCUGGUCUGAGAGGAUGAUCAGCCACACUGGGACUGAGACACGGCCCAGACUCCUACGGGAGGCAGCAGUGGGGAAUAUUGGGCAAUGGGCGCAAGCCUGACCCAGCUAUGCCGCGUGUGUGAAGAAGGCCU